ACGAACGCUGGCGGCGUGCCUAAUACAUGCAAGUCGAGCGGGGAUUAUGCUUGAUCGCUUCGGUGAGACGGCAUAUAUCCUAGCGGCGGACGGGUGAGUAACGCGUGGGUAAUCUACCUCGUAGUUCGGGAUAACAGGCCGAAAGGCUUGCUAAUACCGGAUGAGUUCAUGCUUAUGCAUAUAGGCAUGAAGAAAGGGCUAGCCCGCUAUGAGAUGAGCCCGCGUCCCAUUAGCUUGUUGGUGGGGUAACGGCCUACCAAGGCAACGAUGGGUAGCCGGCCUGAGAGGGUGUACGGCCACACUGGGACUGAGACACGGCCCAGACUCCUACGGGGGGCAGCAGUAGGGAAUUUUCGGCAAUGGGCGAAAGCCUGACCGAGCGACGCCGCGUGAGGGACGAAGGCCUUCGGGUUGUAAAGCUCUUUCGGCCGGGAAGAAAUCGCAUGGGUGAAUACCCUGUGUGGAUGACGGUACCGGAAUAAGAAGCACCGGCUAACUACGUG
rnacentral:rRNA from 1 species